rnacentral:lncRNA from 10 species
AGAAAAGAAAAGAAAUGAAAAAAGACAUGAUGAGAAUGAGGAAAGAAAAAGCAUUGGUUUAGCCUGCAAGGAGCCUGGCAGGGUCGGGCUGCCAAGAAGUGUGGCUCUUGUAGCAUUUCCCUCUGACCGUGGCCAGCUGCUCUGCACCUCCUUUUAGGGCUAGCAAGAAGAGAAGCAGGAAGAAAAUGCAGCAAGCAAAAUUCACUGUAGAAUAAGGGAAAACUUCUGACCACAGUGGAAGAUGUGAAAUCGCAGGACAAGGGCACCAUAGCACUGUGUCAUCCUCGUUUCUGAAGCAAAUCUCUCGUCCACUCUUGCUUCCCUUGACCCAACAGCUUCAGCUGCAGCUGUGUGUCUGGUCCCCGUGCGCCUGACACAGUUCCUCCACAGCCUUCCAAGUCCCUCUACAUUUCUCUUUUGGGGCUUUUUCCAGAACUACAGAAUCUCACUCCCUUGGGUCUCCACGCACAAGGCAGCCUAGAAUUGCAGAGUUACGCCCUGGACAACCUUCAACCAUUGAUGGAUAAAUGCCCAAGCUCCCUCGACACGCAGAGGAACAAUUCUGAAGUUUAUUCUGGUGGCUUCUCCAGGUCCCCAGAAGCACUGAGACCCAGUUUCCCACAGCUCAAUAACAUGCCUUUUAUUGGCUUCUUCACCUUCGGAGAUUUACACUACUUGCUCCCUCACUCCUGCCUACUGGGGUCCCCUCCCAAAUAAAACACCUGCACCCAUGUCCUUGUCCCAGGCUCCAAUAUCAGAAGAAUUCAAACUAGGACAUAAACCUGGCAGCACCACCUCUCUACCUGGUCCAGGAUGCCCUUGCUGGCCUCUCCUCCAGGCCGACUUGAUCCUGCCUCUCCUGCUCUGUCCACUCUCUGGUGCUGACAUCUGCAUGAUAGACACAUCAUAUCCUAUUGUCACAGUGCGUCUGUGAGCUCGUGCCCCACUCAGCUCCGAGAUGUUCACAGGCCAAGACAGUCUCCUGGUCACCUGAGGGUCAAGUAGCUCAGGACACCCCUUAUUUUUAUUGCAGUUGUGAUCAUUAUCAAUAACCACAUGGAGUCUGGUGACUUCUGUGUUGACAUUUUGCAUUUCUAGAAGGUAAUAUGGUGCGCUAUAGAAAAAAACACUGAGUUAAAAGUUAAGAUAUCAAGGCCGGGUGCGGUGGCUCAUGCCUGUAAUCUGGGCACUUUGGGAGGCCAAGGUGGGCAGAUCACUUGAGGUCAGGAGUUCGAGAGCAGGCUGGCCAACAUGGUGAAACCCUGUUUCUACUGAAAAUACAAAAAUUAGCCAGGUGUGGUGGCAGGCACCUGUAAUCCCAGCUACUCAGGAGGCUGAGACAGGAGAAUCACUUGAACCUGGGAGGCGGAGGUUGCAGGGAGCCAAGAUCACACCAUUGCACUCCAGCCCUGGGCAACAAGAGUGAAACUCCAUCUCAAAAAAAGAAAAAAUAGUUAAGAUACCAAGAUUCUCAAACAUUACCUGUAAGUUCAAUAAAGGAAUAGUUAUAUGAAUAACGACAUAUUCGCUCAAUAGACUACUCUGCAACCAUUUAUGAUUUUAAAGUAUUAUAUUAUAAUAUUUUUUGCUAAGCUCUUAGUAUAUUCCACACAGCGGGCUAAAACCUUUUCCACACAUUUUCUCAUCUAAUCCCCACAAUAACCCAUAAUAUAGGUACUGGUAUUAUCAUCAUCAUCACUAUUACUAUUAUUCUCAUUUUACAAAUGAAGAAAUGGAGUCUUUAUAAAAAUCGUCAGCUAAUGCUUAUAAUGCAAAGUUGAGGUAAAGAGUAGGAUAUCAAAUGGUGUGUUCAAUACAUCUCAAUUAUAUGUAAAUAUAUAUGUAGAGAAAACAGGCUAAAAGAUGGUGUAUUACAAUGCGGGCCAUUGUUGUCUCUGGGUAAUGGGUUUAUAAGUCAUAUUUAUUUUCUUCCCGUCUAACUUGCUCAGUGAUUAUAGGCAAUUCAUCUUCAGGCUGAGGCUCCACUGCCCUGCCGUCACCUCCAUGAGAUGUGGGUUAGGUCCCCAUGGCUCCACCUUCUCCUCCUUAAGAAGCAGGGGCCAGAGCCCAUGAGCCCUGAAGAUUCUACAGUCUGGAUGUCAAGAGGAAACUGCCAGGAACUAGAGCCGAGCAUCAAGAGAGGUUGCAGCAAUCAUGCUGGGUCAGAUCAUCAAAAGGACUCACAAGACUCCAACAAAGUAAAAGGAGCAAAAGUCCUCAAUCCAGAAAGUCAAGAGACCUGAAUCCUCUCCCAGGAUGGCCAGCAACCCUCUGUGUGACCCUGGCCAAGUCAUUUUCACUCCCUGUGAAGUUUCCUCUUCUGGGAGGAUAGACCAGACGAGCUGUUCUCAAACUCUACUGCACAUUAAAAUCAUCCAGGAGAUCUAAAAAACUCCAGCACCCAGCUGGCACCCCCAGGCCAAUGAAUCUUCGGUAGGACCCAGGCUUCAAUAUAUUUUCAAAGCUCUCUGUGGUUUCAACGAACAGCCAUGGUGGCAGGAAACUACCCCCUCUCCUCCCAGGUCCUUCUCAAACUUCACUGUAGGCACAGAUCAUCCUGGUCUGUGCUAAGAUGUAGACCCUGGCUCAGGCAGAGAUUGGACAUUUCUAGCAAGCUGCCAGGUUCUCUUGCUGCUGGUCCAGGAAAAGGGACUAGACCAUUGGUUGAAAAGCUUUUGUUAGCUUUGCAAUACUUUCUACAAAGGAAAUAUUGCAUGGAAACAGAUACUUAACAAAACUGCUCUGAUUAAAGUCAGGGUUCAGAAAGGAUGGGACAACCGGAGUCUCAGACUCAGAUUCACCCCGAAAUCCGUGAAUUGGGCAGAAUUACAACUCCAUCAGAGACAUCGUGUCCUGAUCCCACAACCUUGUGAACAUGUUCCGUUACCUGGCAAAGGGGAAUUAUGUCUUCAGAGGAAAUUAAGGCUGUUAAUCAGCUAACCUUAAAAUAAGAUUAUCUGGGUGGGCUUAAUCUAAUCAGAAGAGGUUGUUAAAAGUGGAAGAGAGUGGCUUAGUAUUCCCUAUCCACUUUCCCUACAUUUUCUCCUCCAUAGAACUCAUCUUCUAAUAUAUUUUAUAAUAUGUACACUUAAGUUUUGUUUUUUAGUUUUUUAGAGGCAGUGUCUCACUGUGUUGCCCAGGCUGGAGUGCAGUGGCUAUUCACAGGCGUGAUCCCAC